rnacentral:rRNA from 1 species
GGGUUGUGAGGUUAAGCGACUAAGCGUACACGGUGGAUGCCCUGGCAGUCAGAGGCGAUGAAGGACGUGCUAAUCUGCGAUAAGCGUCGGUGAGGUGAUAUGAACCGUUAUAACCGGCGAUUUCCGAAUGGGGAAACCCAGUGUGUUUCGACACACUAUCAUUAACUGAAUCCAUAGGUUAAUGAGGCGAACCGGGGGAACUGAAACAUCUAAGUACCCCGAGGAAAAGAAAUCAACCGAGAUUCCCCCAGUAGCGGCGAGCGAACGGGGAGGAGCCCAGAGCCUGAAUCAGUGUGUGUGUUAGUGGAAGCGUCUGGAAAGGCGCGCGAUACAGGGUGACAGCCCCGUACACAAAAAUGCACAUAUUGUGAGCUCGAUGAGUAGGGCGGGACACGUGGUAUCCUGUCUGAAUAUGGGGGGACCAUCCUCCAAGGCUAAAUACUCCUGACUGACCGAUAGUGAACCAGUACCGUGAGGGAAAGGCGAAAAGAACCCCGGCGAGGGGAGUGAAAAAGAACCUGAAACCGUGUACGUACAAGCAGUGGGAGCCUCUUAAUGGGGUGACUGCGUACCUUUUGUAUAAUGGGUCAGCGACUUAUAUUCUGUAGCAAGGUUAACCGAAUAGGGGAGCCGAAGGGAAACCGAGUCUUAACUGGGCGUUAAGUUGCAGGGUAUAGACCCGAAACCCGGUGAUCUAGCCAUGGGCAGGUUGAAGGUUGGGUAACACUAACUGGAGGACCGAACCGACUAAUGUUGAAAAAUUAGCGGAUGACUUGUGGCUGGGGGUGAAAGGCCAAUCAAACCGGGAGAUAGCUGGUUCUCCCCGAAAGCUAUUUAGGUAGCGCCUCGUGAAUUCAUCUCCGGGGGUAGAGCACUGUUUCGGCAAGGGGGUCAUCCCGACUUACCAACCCGAUGCAAACUGCGAAUACCGGAGAAUGUUAUCACGGGAGACACACGGCGGGUGCUAACGUCCGUCGUGAAGAGGGAAACAACCCAGACCGCCAGCUAAGGUCCCAAAGUCAUGGUUAAGUGGGAAACGAUGUGGGAAGGCCCAGACAGCCAGGAUGUUGGCUUAGAAGCAGCCAUCAUUUAAAGAAAGCGUAAUAGCUCACUGGUCGAGUCGGCCUGCGCGGAAGAUGUAACGGGGCUAAACCAUGCACCGAAGCUGCGGCAGCGACGCUUAUGCGUUGUUGGGUAGGGGAGCGUUCUGUAAGCCUGUGAAGGUGGCCUGUGAGGGUUGCUGGAGGUAUCAGAAGUGCGAAUGCUGACAUAAGUAACGAUAAAGCGGGUGAAAAGCCCGCUCGCCGGAAGACCAAGGGUUCCUGUCCAACGUUAAUCGGGGCAGGGUGAGUCGACCCCUAAGGCGAGGCCGAAAGGCGUAGUCGAUGGGAAACAGGUUAAUAUUCCUGUACUUGGUGUUACUGCGAAGGGGGGACGGAGAAGGCUAUGUUGGCCGGGCGACGGUUGUCCCGGUUUAAGCGUGUAGGCUGGUUUUCCAGGCAAAUCCGGAAAACCAAGGCUGAGGCGUGAUGACGAGGCACUACGGUGCUGAAGCGACAAAUGCCCUGCUUCCAGGAAAAGCCUCUAAGCAUCAGGUAACAUCAAAUCGUACCCCAAACCGACACAGGUGGUCAGGUAGAGAAUACCAAGGCGCUUGAGAGAACUCGGGUGAAGGAACUAGGCAAAAUGGUGCCGUAACUUCGGGAGAAGGCACGCUGAUAUGUAGGUGAAGCGACUUGCUCGUGGAGCUGAAAUCAGUCGAAGAUACCAGCUGGCUGCAACUGUUUAUUAAAAACACAGCACUGUGCAAACACGAAAGUGGACGUAUACGGUGUGACGCCUGCCCGGUGCCGGAAGGUUAAUUGAUGGGGUUAGCGGUAACGCGAAGCUCUUGAUCGAAGCCCCGGUAAACGGCGGCCGUAACUAUAACGGUCCUAAGGUAGCGAAAUUCCUUGUCGGGUAAGUUCCGACCUGCACGAAUGGCGUAAUGAUGGCCAGGCUGUCUCCACCCGAGACUCAGUGAAAUUGAACUCGCUGUGAAGAUGCAGUGUACCCGCGGCAAGACGGAAAGACCCCGUGAACCUUUACUAUAGCUUGACACUGAACAUUGAGCCUUGAUGUGUAGGAUAGGUGGGAGGCUUUGAAGUGUGGACGCCAGUCUGCAUGGAGCCGACCUUGAAAUACCACCCUUUAAUGUUUGAUGUUCUAACGUGGGCCCCUAAUCGGGGUUGCGGACAGUGUCUGGUGGGUAGUUUGACUGGGGCGGUCUCCUCCUAAAGAGUAACGGAGGAGCACGAAGGUUGGCUAAUCCUGGUCGGACAUCAGGAGGUUAGUGCAAUGGCAUAAGCCAGCUUGACUGCGAGCGUGACGGCGCGAGCAGGUGCGAAAGCAGGUCAUAGUGAUCCGGUGGUUCUGAAUGGAAGGGCCAUCGCUCAACGGAUAAAAGGUACUCCGGGGAUAACAGGCUGAUACCGCCCAAGAGUUCAUAUCGACGGCGGUGUUUGGCACCUCGAUGUCGGCUCAUCACAUCCUGGGGCUGAAGUAGGUCCCAAGGGUAUGGCUGUUCGCCAUUUAAAGUGGUACGCGAGCUGGGUUUAGAACGUCGUGAGACAGUUCGGUCCCUAUCUGCCGUGGGCGCUGGAGAACUGAGGGGGGCUGCUCCUAGUACGAGAGGACCGGAGUGGACGCAUCACUGGUGUUCGGGUUGUCAUGCCAAUGGCACUGCCCGGUAGCUAAAUGCGGAAGAGAUAAGUGCUGAAAGCAUCUAAGCACGAAACUUGCCCCGAGAUGAGUUCUCCCUGAGACUUAGAGUCUCCUGAAGGAACGUUGAAGACGACGACGUUGAUAGGCCGGGUGUGUAAGCGCAGCGAUGCGUUGAGCUAACCGGUACUAAUGAACCGUGAGGCUUAACCUUACAACGCCGAAG